rnacentral:misc_RNA from 1 species
AUCCACCUUAACAUUUUCAUCUCUUUAACUCUUAGCUUAAAUCAAAUUUUUAUAAAUUUCUAAUUUUCAAACAGACUUAAUAUAAUCUCAUAUGAACACACGUAACUACUAAAUAACUAUUAGCUUAAUGGCUUUGAUCUUCUUCUGAAUGUUGUGUUAAUUCAUGUUUGAUUUACUUGAAACUGAGCAUCUUAAUUGUGCUUUAAUACGAGGAGAGGGGGGAAAGAGAGCAUACAAUACAUGGAUCGAAAUCAUGUUUUUUGUUUGUUUAUGCGUACAGAACCGAUGUGUUAAUAUGAUA